rnacentral:tRNA from 2 species
CGGGGUGUAGCGCAGUUGGUAGCGCGCUUGGUUCGGGACCAAGAGGCCGUGGGUUCAAAUCCCGCCACUCCGACCA